UACGGGGGGGCAAGCGUUGUUCGGAAUUACUGGGCGUAAAGGGCUCGUAGGCGGCCAACUAAGUCAAACGUGAAAUCCCUCGGCUUAACCGGGAACUGCGUCUGAUACUGGAUGGCUUGAGUUUGGGAGAGGGAUGCGGAAUUCCAGGUGUAGCGGUGAAAUGCGUAGAUAUCUGGAGGAACACCGGUGGCGAAGGCGGUUCUCUGGGCCUGUACUGACGCUGAGGAGCGAAGCG
rnacentral:rRNA from 1 species